rnacentral:rRNA from 1 species
AGUCGAGCGAACAGGCGAGGAGCUUGCUCCUCUGACGUUAGCGGCGGACGGGUGAGUAACACGUGGAUAACCUACCUAUAAGACUGGGAUAACUUCGGGAAACCGGAGCUAAUACCGGAUAAUAUAUUGAACCGCAUGGUUCAAUAGUGAAAGACGGUUUUGCUGUCACUUAUAGAUGGAUCCGCGCCGCAUUAGCUAGUUGGUAAGGUAACGGCUUACCGAGGCGACGAUGCGUAGCCGACCUGAGAGGGUGAUCGGCCACACUGGAACUGAGACACGGUCCAGACUCCUACGGGAGGCAGCAGUAGGGAAUCUUCCGCAAUGGGCGAAAGCCUGACGGAGCAACGCCGCGUGAGUGAUGAAGGUCUUCGGAUCGUAAAACUCUGUUAUUAGGGAAGAACAAAUGUGUAAGUAACUAUGCACGUCUUGACGGUACCUAAUCAGAAAGCCACGGCUAACUACGUGCCAGCAGCCGCGGUAAUACGUAGGUGGCAAGCGUUAUCCGGAAUUAUUGGGCGUAAAGCGCGCGUAGGCGGUUUUUUAAGUCUGAUGUGAAAGCCCACGGCUCAACCGUGGAGGGUCGUUGGAAACUGGAAAACUUGAGUGCAGAAGAGGAAAGUGGAAUUCCAUGUGUAGCGGUGAAAUGCGCAGAGAUAUGGAGGAACACCAGUGGCGAAGGCGACUUUCUGGUCUGUAACUGACGCUGAUGUGCGAAAGCGUGGGGAUCAAACAGGAUUAGAUACCCUGGUAGUCCACGCCGUAAACGAUGAGUGCUAAGUGUUAGGGGGUUUCCGCCCCUUAUGCUGCAGCUAACGCAUUAAGCACU